rnacentral:rRNA from 1 species
ACUCCUACGGGAGGCAGCAGUGGGGAAUAUUGCGCAAUGGGCGAAAGCCUGACGCAGCGACGCCGCGUGAGGGAUGAAGGCCUUCGGGUCGUAAACCUCUUUCAGCAGGGAAGAAGCGCAAGUGACGGUACCUGCAGAAGAAGCACCGGCUAACUACGUGCCAGCAGCCGCGGUAAUACGUAGGGCGCAAGCGUUAUCCGGAA